UUAAUUGGUGUGCCAAAUGGCCCACCUUCUAUUUUUGUGUCCCCCAUUCCCGUCACUCUUCCAUCUCUCUCAGCCCUCUUCUUUCUCUGUCUCCCUCUCUCUCUCAACCUCACUCUUCCAUCCUCAUCAUUAAACCCACACACACCCACCACCACAACUACCUAGCUACGACACCACCAUCACCUCUGGAACUUUCUUUUCUCUCUCCCCCGUCUCGGCGAAGCUCCGGGACACCCAGAGAACACCCAAGUCUCCCCCUACGCCUCCGGCGACUUUCGAGAGAAUUUCCGGCCAAACCACGAUGAGUUGGCCUGCGUGCAAGUUUCCGGCGAGUCCGACAGAUUUCGAGGCAUUUUCCGGCCAAACCACGGCAAUUUAUACGUCUUGUGAGGGGCAAUUAUUGGUGACGUUUUCUUGUUCGUUAGUUUGCGUGGCUCUUCGGCGGCUAAGUACUGUGAGUGGACCCCUUCUAAAAUGCAUGUUUUAAUAGUAGAAAUGCAUACAUGAAAAGCAUGAUUUGAUGAUUACGUUUUAUGAAACGUUUUGUGAGAUAGCAUGCUUACUGAGGCUAGUUUGAAUUAUUACUAUUUUUCCUAUAACCCAUGUUUUUAUAGAAUAUCUGAUGGAUGACGAUAUGAUAUUUCGAUUUUUUAUUAAGAUAAGAGACGGGUGGGUCCAAUUUUUUUUUUAAAUUUUUUAUUUUUUUAACAUCCACAUGGGCCCCAUAUUGAUGUGUGGCGCUCAGUCAUUGUCCACAUGGGCGCCAUGUCAUCAGUUAAUGAGAUUCUGAUGGGAAACUUAACAGAUGUAUGAAAGUGUCCCAUAAUUAUGACUUUAGGUACCAGACUAGGUCAAAAAAAAAAAAAACUUCGGGAUAGUAAACUGAGGUUAACCUUUUUUUUUUUUUUUUUGUUAUUUUCCUCCUUAUGUGGGAUACAUAAUUUUUUUUUUAAAUGUUGUUCAUCACAUAAAAGUCUUAAACUCCUCACAAAUUUUUAGGUGGCAAAUUUUACCGCCCAAUGAAUUAUAUUGGAUGACGAAAAUUUUGCUUUCUUCACAAAACAUAAGAUAAGGCCACCUGGGUUCCUGUGAGGAAAGGCAAAUCAUCACCUUUCCUUUACUGAAGGCAAAGAAAAAAAGAAAAAAAAACAUAAAAGUAAAUAAAAUCCAAAAGCCCCAACUCGUUAGAAUUCAUAUGUUCUGCUCUCACUCCACUUCCUCUCUUAGCCGACGAUCACCUUUCUCAAAUUUGCCAACUGACUGCUGGUGGCGGCGAGUACCAUCGCUCUUUCGUCUUCCCCAUACCUCCGCUGCUUGCUAUCACACUCUACUCUCUUUUGACCUAAGACGACUUAGUAUCUCAGCUAUUCGUUCUCCCAAUUUCUAAUCCAAAGGUACUCAAAUCUCUCUCUCUCUUGAAAUUACUGCAUUUUUUUAUUUCUCUCUUAGAAUUUUUUCUUAAUCGUGAAAAUUUUGAAAAUUUUCUUAUUUUAUGUAUUGGGUUUUCGAGAUAUUGGAGAAACCUCGGCUAUGGAAAUCCCGCUCAUGUUAUUGAGGUGGAAGAUUUUUUCCAUUUCUAGUUUUUAAUUAAAUUUUAGGACGAUGUUGAUGUAUAUUUCUAAAUUAGGGUUUUCAAUAUUGGUGUGAAUACUUAAUGGCAUGCUUGAUCUUUUUUUCUUUUUAUUUUAUUUUAUUUUAUUUUUUUUAUUAAUUUGUACCUAGAUGGGUGUGAAUACUUAAUGGCCUGCUUGUUUGUUUAGAUGUUCUUGAAUUUCCUGUUAUUUGAAUUUAUGGAAUUCAAUUUACUGACAUUCAUAUUUGUUAUGUUAUAUGUCUAUCUUAACACAUAUUUGAAAAUUUGUUAUGGCAACUUAUUGAACUAUGUCAAAAUCUGAGGCCCAACACUACUACUGAAGAUAGACAAUGGAUUUGUUGUCGGAAUCACUCUAGUUCUAAUUAUUAGAGAAUGGGUCCAAUCAUUCAUUCACACUGUUUGUCGCCAUGUGGACCAGAACGAUUAGAUGCUAUGUCCUUGUAGAGUUUGUCAUAACAUAUUUUUUUUCACUUAAUUGAAGAUGUUCAUCUACAUUCGUUGAAUUUCAAUAUGGAUAUGAAUUAUGAUAGAUGGAUAAAUCGUUGAAUUUGCUACUAGAGUAUUUGAAUACUUGAGUAGUUUUUGUCUAAAUACUUUGUAUAUUCAUGCUUGAUUAUCAUUACAAUACUACACGCCUAUUAAUAGGAAAGAAGGAAGGAGAGAUCGGACAGAGUGAGGUCCAUGAGGAGCUGUGCCACCUGAGAUACAAUAAUGAAAAGAAACACUCCACUACACUUAGUUGGAGAAAAUAUAAUAACAACCAAUAUACAAACGUUAACUAGUUAUAAAGGGAAAGCACUUCUAAAUAAGAAAGUUUCAGCUUGAGAUUGUGCAAUGAGAGUUUUCGAUAUGCUUAUAAUGAUAAUUAUUUAAGAUGCUAGUCUAUUAUUAUUUUUCCUUUUCCAAUUUACUAGAUGACUUCUAUGCAACGAGGAAAAAGGGUGAAACGGGUCAGGGUUGCCCUACCUCUACCUCCACCACCACCACACCACCUCCUCCACCGCCACCACCAUCUCCUCCACCACAUGCUCCUUCACUUGAAGAGCCAACAAACAUGAACUUAGGUUUUUUACUACUGAGAUAGGGAAUAUUGUUCAGACUCAUUCACCAGUUUGCUACGAGAAAUGGAUGAAGGUCUCACCUCAAGAAAAGAGGACAUUGCGGGAUAAGUUGCUUGUAUUAUUUGUGGUGGACCUAUCCCAUCCAAAGAUUAUUGAAUACGUUGAUAAGAAAAUGGCGAAGUUGUACUAUGUGUUUAGGCACCGGUUGAAUAAGUAUUACUUGUCAAGUGGAACACCUGCAAGAGGACGAGCUAAGCUGCCGAACGAUCAGAUAUGGAAUGGGAGACCAAAGAGUCAUUGGGACUAGUUAUGCAAUAAUGUUUACUCUACCACCCACUUUUUGGAGCUUUCAAAGAAAAAUUCUGAUAAUAGGAAGAAACAAAAGUAUCAUCACAAGGGAGGAGUAAGGCCAUUCAUCAAACAUGCUAGGAAGGCUCACAUGAAAGAAGAUCCAUUAUCUGUGAUUGACAAUUGGGGAGCUCUCCACAAAGAUAAGAACGGCAAGUGGAUCAAUGAUGUUGCUCAAGACAAAUAUGUAAGUUAUUCAUGAGCCACUAAGGGAGAAGCUGACCGAAGAAGCACCUGAGGGUACUCCAUUAGAUUUCGUACAUGUGUGGAUGAUGAGUUUGGAAUCAUGGUUGAAAACCUUGGGAAGAAGGGAAAAUCUGUUAAUGGUGUAGGUGUUUUUCCUCGAAUGGAUACCUAUGGUUGUGGUUCUUCUAUGGCUUCAAAUUCUGAGUUAGCUGAUACAAGAUCUCAGAUCAAGCUUCUAUCAGAUGGUUUCCUCAUAUUGCAAAAGGAGAAUGAACAAUUAAAAGCUUGAUUGGAUUUACAGAAUGUUGAUGAAAAUAUGUUCAUAAAAAUCAAGGCUUUUUUUGCUACAAGUCAAGGGAAGACCAACAACAACUUUACGAAAUCAGAUGGUGAUAUUUCAGAGGGUGAAAAUACUUAUCCUGAGCUAGAAGAACAUGAUUUGGAAGAGGACUGAUUUCGAUAUUAUGUCUUUUGCUGUUAGUUUCAAGUUUCCACAUGGUAUACCUCUUUUGUUAGCACCUAAAUGUGUCUUAGACUUCUUUUUUGUUAGUACCAAAGUUGUCUAUUAGUGUUAGUGCCCUUCAUUAUUCUAGCGUAGGCUUCUAUUUUGUUAGUACCUGGAGCUAUCUUUUGUUAGCACUAAGCUGUUUUAGACUUCUCUUUUGAGAUAGGUUACCAUGACUUUAAUUUUUGGAACGUACACCUGGUGAAUGUAUUCGACUUAUGUGCUUAAAUUGAUUAAUGAAAAUGUGAAGUAUUACCUAUAA